AUGCCCAUGUCCUUGAGUGUCUCAGCCACUUUUGAGGAUCUGUUCCUGAGGAAAUUGAGAAUAUUCCUGGCUUCCACGGGAACAGGCCUCCAUUGUGCGCCACUGCCCUGGGCUGCUUGGCAAGGGUGCUGUCUGCAGCCUCAUGAGAGACCCUCUUGGAGAGUGUGUGAGGACCCUGGGGAACAGAACUCAGCUCCUCCAAGAAGCAGCCACAAGACAUACCCAGACUCACCCCUACCCAGCCUGACUCUGACCUGGGCCGAGCAUGCACGAGUCAUGGGCCAGCUGCCUUCUGCUCCCCUCUUCUAAGCAUCUAGUGCCACAGAACCAUCCAAGCCUCAUGAGCAGGAAAUAAAGGUGCCCAGAGCUUGGCACUUGUAAGCCAAGAUGAGCCCACCUCAUUUACAUGCACAGUGAACACCAUUCAGUGCCAGGCACGCUUUUCCCCUUUUCUCAAAGACCACGCUGAGAUGUGUGUGAAAUGGACAAAGGCAGGUGAGGAGGAACUGGGCUGUGAAUACUGCUCAGGUGAUAAGGAAGUUACCUGCCCUCGGCCCAGCGAAACCUCAGAGCCCUCCCCGGCAGCUCAGUGUCAAGCUCAACUGACAAGUGUUUUGCUGGAUGUGUCUCAGGGGUAGGGCAAGAGGGGCCAAUGCACCUGUACAUGAGCAGGCCUGUGGGACAUCCUGCUGGGUGCUGGUGCUGAUGUGCCCUGGGGCUCCAGUUGACCAUCUGGUUGGCUCUAGUGGGUCUCUGCAUUCUCGAGCCUUCGGACUCAGGCUGAACUAUACUUAAUUUUUCAGUUUACAGAGGGUAGACGAUAGGAUCUCACAGCCUCCAUAAGCACAUGAGCCAAUUCCUAUAAUAAAUGUCCUCUUCAACAUCUCUCUAUAUGUCCUACUGGUUCUGCUUCUGUAGAGAACACUGAUUAUUUCUCCUGGGGAGAUCGAUGGUGUAAGUCCUGGUCUGAGUUUGAAAGUCAGAGAACCAAGGGCACCAAUGGGUUCCAGCUCAAGCAGAGGGAGACAAUUCACCCUUCCUUCACUGUUUUGUUCUCUUCAUUCAGGCUCUCAGUGCCUUGGAUGAGGUCCACCUGCAUUCACUCGGUCUACAUAUUCAAAUGGUAAUCUCUUCUGGAGUCACGCUCAGAA
rnacentral:lncRNA from 1 species